GGAGAGGUGGCCGAGCGGCCGAAGGCGGUGGCUUGCUAAGCCACUGAGGGGAGGUAAUCCCCUCCGAGGGUUCGAAUCCCUCCCUCUCCG
rnacentral:tRNA from 1 species